rnacentral:miRNA from 1 species
GCUGACACAUCCCGGCCAAUCAGCAGCAGACCCUCCCUCCCAGACCCUCCCACCUCCUGGACAGCAUCCAUGUUGAAGCUGCCUUCAACAUGGAUGCUGUCCAGGAGGUGGGAGGGUCUGGGAGGGAGGGUCUGAUGGAGAUUGGCCGGGAUGUGUCAG